rnacentral:rRNA from 1 species
UACGAAGGGGGCUAGCGUUGCUCGGAAUCACUGGGCGUAAAGCGCACGUAGGCGGAUCUUUAAGUCAGGGGUGAAAUCCCAAGGCUCAACCUUGGAACUGCCUUUGAUACUGGGGAUCUCGAGUCCGGAAGAGGUGAGUGGAACUGCGAGUGUAGAGGUGAAAUUCGUAGAUAUUCGCGAGAACACCAGUGGCGAAGGCGGCUCACUGGUCCGGUACUGACGCUGAGGUGCGAAAGCGUGGGGAGCAAACAGG